rnacentral:rRNA from 1 species
GGGCCCGCACAAGCAGUGGAGCAUGUGGUUUAAUUCGAUGCAACGCGAAGAACCUUACCAGGCCUUGACAUCCUCGGAACUUUCUAGAGAUAGAUUGGUGCCUUCGGGAACCGAGUGACAGGUGCUGCAUGGCUGUCGUCAGCUCGUGUCGUGAGAUGUUGGGUUAAGUCCCGUAACGAGCGCAACCCUUGUCAUUAGUUGCUACAUUUAGUUGAGCACUCUAAUGAGACUGCCGGUGACAAACCGGAGGAAGGUGGGGAUGACGUCAAGUCCUCAUGGCCCUUAUGGGUAGGGCUUCACACGUCAUACAAUGGUCGGUACAGAGGGUUGCCAAGCCGCGAGGUGGAGCCAAUCCCAGAAAACCGAUCGUAGUCCGGAUCGUAGUCUGCAACUCGACUACGUG